rnacentral:rRNA from 1 species
CAGCAGCGCGGUAAUACGUAGGGUGCGAGCGUUAAUCGGAAUUACUGGGCGUAAAGCGUGCGCAGGCGGUUCGUUAAGACAGAUGUGAAAUCCCCGGGCUUAACCUGGGAACUGCAUUUGUGACUGGCGAGCUAGAGUAUGGCAGAGGGGGGUAGAAUUCCACGUGUAGCAGUGAAAUGCGUAGAGAUGUGGAGGAAUACCGAUGGCGAAGGCAGCCCCCUGGGCCAAUACUGACGCUCAUGCACGAAAGCGUGGGGAGCAAACAGGAUUAGAUACCCCGGUAGUCCCUGUCUCUUAUACA